rnacentral:tRNA from 1 species
GGGCCCAUAGCUCAGCAUGGCAGAGCAGCUGGCUCUUAACCAGAUGGUCGAGGGUUCAAAUCCCUCUGGGCCCA